rnacentral:rRNA from 1 species
GAAUGCUGACAUAAGUAACGAUAAAGCGGGUGAAAAGCCCGCUCGCCGGAAGACCAAGGGUUCCUGUCCAACGUUAAUCGGGGCAGGGUGAGUCGACCCCUAAGGCGAGGCCGAAAGGCGUAGUCGAUGGGAAACGGGUUAAUAUUCCCGUACUUGGUGUUACUGCGAAGGGGGGACGGAGAAGGCUAUGUUGGCCGGGCGACGGUUGUCCCGGUUUAAGCGUGUAGGUGUGUGUUCCAGGUAAAUCCGGUUCACUUUAACACUGAGGCGUGACGACGAGGCACUACGGUGCUGAAGCAACAAAUGCCCUGCUUCCAGGAAAAGCCUCUAAGCAUCAGGUAACACGAAAUCGUACCCCAAACCGACACAGGUGGUCAGGUAGAGAAUACCAAGGCGCUUGAGAGAACUCGGGUGAAGGAACUAGGCAAAAUGGUGCCGUAACUUCGG